GCGGGUGUAGUAUAAUGGUUAUUAUAGGGGCUUUCCAAGCCCAGGAUCGGAGUUCGAUUCUCCGCACCCGCACCA
rnacentral:tRNA from 1 species